rnacentral:lncRNA from 1 species
UCCUUCACAAGUUAUUUUCCCAAAAAAAUCUGUUGCACCGCUAAACUGUGGCCAAAUCUGGGGGCCCAAAAUCAAAGUCGAUAACUAAAUUUCGAGGCAUCUUUAACAGUGUAAGUAGUGUUAUUAGAAGAAGCAUUAUACAGAUUUACCUCCAACAACUUUUUCCUACAACAAAAUCACGGGUCCAUGGAGAAUGCUGCCACUACAACAAAAACGGUCUAUAGCGACACUUUUAAAUGUAGGUACAUGUCAAAAAAGUGCUGCUAGCUAAAAUUACCGACACUUUUAAAAAGCGUUGCUAUAUGUGGGGUCGCUAGGCAUAUAGUGACAGUUAAAGAGUGUCGUUAUAACCUAAAAGAGUGCUGCUAAUUUUUCAACACUUGUUUAAGCAUUUAGCAACCACCGAAACUCUAUCUCGUUGGCUGCGGUGGCGGAUGAGGAUGACAGUAAAGGCUCUUCGUCUAGAAUUUCAGUGGAUUGAGUGAAGAGAGAAGAAAAGAUGGUAAUUGAUUUUUCUUUUUUUUUUUUCUUUUCUGUUUGUAAUCGGGCCAUAUGGACUGGGUGUGGUGGGUUGAGUAGAGUAAUCUUUUAUUUUUGGUUCGAUUGGGCUUUAUAUUUAGGCAUUAGUAGAUGUGUUUUUAAGUUUUAGCAUAAAUGGGACACUUACUUAAAAGUGUCCCAAACAUGUGUCUCUAUAACUUAAUUCUGUUGUAGUGUGCUGUUGAAAUUAGAAGUAGAAGCUGAAGUUG